AUUGAACGCUGGCGGCAUGCCUUACACAUGCAAGUCGAACGGCAGCACGGGGGCAACCCUGGUGGCGAGUGGCGAACGGGUGAGUAAUGCAUCGGAACGUGCCCAGUAGUGGGGGACAACCAGUCGAAAGAUUGGCUAAUACCGCAUACGACCUAUGGGUGAAAGCGGGGGACCGUAAGACCUCGCGCUAUUGGAGCGGCCGAUGGCAGAUUAGGUGGUUGGUGGGGUAAAGGCCUACCAAGCCUACGAUCUGUAGCUGGUUUGAUAGGACGACCAGCCAGACGGGGACUGAGACACGGCCCAGACUCCUACGGGAGGCAGCAGUGGGGAAGUUUGGACAAUGGGCGCAAGCCUGAUCCAGCCAUGCCGCGUGCGGGAAGAAGGCCUUCGGGUUGUAAACCGCUUUUGUCAGGGAAGAAAUACUCUGGGCUAAUACCCUGGGGUGAUGACGGUACCUGAAGAAUAAGCACCGGCUAACUACGUGCCAGCCGCCGCAGUAACAC
rnacentral:rRNA from 1 species